rnacentral:piRNA from 1 species
UGAGAUAAACUAGAGCGGUAAGUAUAGA